AUGACAGAUACUGCUGUGUCCUUCACCAAGGACUUCCUGGCGAGUGGAGUGGCUGCAGUCAUCUCCAAGACCGUGGUAGCACCCACUGAGUGGGUGAGCUGCUGCUGCAGGUACAGCAUGCCAGCAAGCAAAUCACUGCAGAUAAGCAAUACAAGGGCAUUAUAGACUGCAUGGUUUGUAUCCCCACGGAGCAGCAAGUCCUAUCCUUCUGCCUGGUCACCUGGCCAAUGUCAACAGAUACUUCCCUGCUCAGGCUCUCAACUCUGCCUUCAAAGAUAAAUGCAAGCAGAUCUUCCUGGGUGGUGUGGACAAGAGAACCAGUUUUGGCACUACUUUGCAGGGAAUCUGGCAUCUGGUGGUGUCACUGGGGCCACAUCCUUGUGUUUUGGUGUCCUCUUGAUUUUGCCAUUACCAGGCUAGCAGUGGAUGUGGACGAAGCUGGAGCUGAAAGGGAAUUCAGAGGCCUCAGUGACUACAGAUCUGCAAAUCUGGUGGAAUUAAGGGCCUAUACCAAGUUUAAUGUGUCUGUGCAGGGUAUGCUCAGCCACUGAGCUGCCUACUUCCAUAUGUAUGACACUGCAAAGGGAAUGCUUCCAGAUCCCAAGGACACUCCCAUCUUCAUCAUCAGCAGGAUGAUCGCACAAUCUGUCACAGUGGUUGCUGGGUUGACUUCCUCUCCAUCUGACACUGUUUGUGGCCAUAUGAGAGUUCAGUCAGGGCACAGAGGAACUGACAUCAUGUAUAAGGCAUGCCUGACUGCUGGAGGAAGAUUGCUCGGGAUAAAGGAGCCAAAGCUUUUUCAAGUGUUCAUGGUCCAAUGUUCUCAGGUGCUUUUUGCUUGUCUUAUAUGAUGAAAUCAAGAAGUUCCUGUAGUUAUUUCCUAGUUUUUACCCCUUGUGAACAGGCAUGUUGUAUCAUAUAACAUAUCUUGAACCUUCUUGACAGACUGUUGGCUGUCUGUUUAUCAAUGGCAACUAUUUACUGGCUGAAAAUGGGAAGUGAUAAUAUUCAUCUGACCAGUUUUCUCUUAAAGCCAUUUCCGUGAUGAUGGGACUCAAUUAUAUUUUUUAUUUCAGUCACUCCUGAUAAAUAA